UACGGAGGGGGUUAGCGUUGUUCGGAAUUACUGGGCGUAAAGCGUGCGUAGGCGGACCAGAAAGUUGGGGGUGAAAUCCCGGGGCUCAACCCCGGAACGGCCUCCAAAACUCCUGGUCUUGAGUUCGAGAGAGGUGAGUGGAAUUCCGAGUGUAGAGGUGAAAUUCGUAGAUAUUCGGAGGAACACCAGUGGCGAAGGCGGCUCACUGGCUCGAUACUGACGCUGAGGUGCGAAAGUGUGGGGAGCAAACAGG
rnacentral:rRNA from 1 species